AGCAGUCGCCACGGUAAUACGAAGGGGGCUAGCGUUGCUCGGAAUGACUGGGCGUAAAGGGCGCGUAGGCGGCGGCCAAAGUCAGGCGUGAAAUUCCCGGGCUCAACCUGGGGGCUGCGUUUGAUACUUGGUUGCUUGAGUGGGGAAGAGGGUCGUGGAAUUCCCAGUGUAGAGGUGAAAUUCGUAGAUAUUGGGAAGAACACCGGUGGCGAAGGCGGCGACCUGGUCCUUUACUGACGCUGAGGCGCGAAAGCGUGGGGAGCAGACAGGAUUAGAUACCCGUGUAGUCCCUGUCUCUUAUAC
rnacentral:rRNA from 1 species